AGCGUUGUUCUCAUAGAUAUGAAUGAGUAGAUAGGACACGCCCCUUUGAGCUGCGUGCUACAGCGAGGCUAAGCUAGUGGGGGAAAAGUUUCAGUGCAUUCCGUUGAUGUAGACGGCGUGAAAACGGAAACAAGUAUGUCGUCUCACUGUGCUGCAUAUAAUUACACACUACGUCGUACGAUUGAGACAAGGAAACUUGGAAUGACUUUUCAUAGGUUUCCCAGAGACUAUGGGUUGAGGAGGAAUUGGAAGUUUGUCGGCUUAGACCUGGUGUCGUUCCAUCAGUGUUAAACUUCCGGGCUCAUCUUGGAAGAGUAUGUGCCAGAAAGACCACAACCAAGCAGCCUUGAGAUCUUAGGCAGCGUCUCCCUCAGACCAAAGAACUACAGACUCUUCACAACCUGCUCAAACUCUUGGUACAGGACCUCACCACACGGGUCAAGAAGGUUUCCAUCUCAUUUCUACUUUGAAGCUCACCUCCUGCUCAAACUGCUGACAAAUGUUUCUGCUGCUCUAAAGUCUGGUCUCCAGAACUUCCUAAAAACUCUCAAAGUCUCUUCUGCUGCAGGUUGCUUUGUAGAACUGUUGCAGAAAACCUCACUAAACCACAUGGAGGGGCCUCAAGAUAGUCGUCCAAAUGAAACCAUACAAAAACCAAACUAACACAACCCAAACGCUAAAGUCUCCUGCAGUCUACCAGAGAACCUCUGAGAACAGAGAAUCAGGACAGGAACUCUUACCUUCUGGACAACCAACGUUGGUUCACAAACAAGAAUACAGAAUGUGUCUGACCAAAAACCUCUAAAGACUCACUACAGCCAAGAUAAAGACACAACUCAGCUGCAUCAAAUCCACUAAUCACUGCACACAUUAGCACCAUGUGCUAACUGUGGCUAAAGAACCUCAUUUACCAAGACAACUAUCCAGUACAAAGCCCUAAAACACACCAAGAAACACAUUAAAGACGAUUUUACUGCUGGAAGCUGCAAGCCAGUGCCUUAAGAACAAAUUAAAGCAACUGAGCCAAACCCGGAUCUGUGGUGAAGAGAAGCAGAGGAAAUGUUUGUCUGCAGCUAAAUAAAGCAGGAAGACACUGAGCUGCUCAGGUGUUCCUGAUAACACCAAGCAGCCACCUGGACAGCCAAUAGGAACACAGCCACCUGGACAGCCAAUAGGAACACAGCUGGAAGUCCAGAGGGCUGGGUUAGUGAAGGAAAUUUAAAGUUGAAGCAGAAAGUUAACAAAGAAAGUUGAAAACCACCUUCUGAUACCUGAAAUCUCUGAGUUUUCACACAAAGAACACCUGAACAUGUCAAACUGGUUCCAUAGUAGAACCAUCAUUGUAAAAACGUCAUAGUAUGGUGUGUUGCUCAAAAAACAUUAGAACCCGGCUGUCAGGGACAAACAUGUAAGAAACAUGAGAACAGAGAGAAUCCAACCAGUAGGUCACAGUUUAUCAUCCCCCAGUCAUCUCCUGAAGUCCAUAUGGUGAGAGACAUCAGUAUCUGGUUGUUAAUUUACCAGAGGAUGCUUAUAAUCAUGCUGAUGUGGUCUGUACUCUACAGUAUUUUAGUGACUCAAUAAAUGCCUAAGUUUUUUUUUUUUUAAAUGCUUUUUAGUUUUUCAUAAACAUUUAACAGCCUAUAUGUAAUCAAUAAAUGGUCUUUGCCUAUCUUAAGAAAAACUCACUCAGAACUCUAUGUUAACAGUAC
ensembl:lncRNA